rnacentral:rRNA from 1 species
AUUGAACGCUGGCGGCAGGCCUAACACAUGCAAGUCGAGCGGAUGAAGGGAGCUUGCUCCUGGAUUCAGCGGCGGACGGGUGAGUAAUGCCUAGGAAUCUGCCUGGUAGUGGGGGAUAACGUCCGGAAACGGGCGCUAAUACCGCAUACGUCCUGAGGGAGAAAGUGGGGGAUCUUGGAACCCCCGGCUACAGGUUAAGCUAGGUCGGAUUAGCUAGUUGGUGGGGUAAAGGCCUACCAAGGCGACGAUCCGUAACUGGUCUGAGAGGAUGAUCAGUCACACUGGAACUGAGACACGGUCCAGACUCCUACGGGAGGCAGCAGUGGGGAAUAUUGGACAAUGGGCGAAAGCCUGAUCCAGCCAUGCCGCGUGUGUGAAGAAGGUCUUCGGAUUGUAAAGCACUUUAAGUUGGGAGGAAGGGCAGUAAGUUAAUACCUUGCUGUUUUGACGUUACCAACAGAAUAAGCACCGGCUAACUUCGUG